rnacentral:rRNA from 1 species
GACUAACGCUGGCGGCGUGCUUAACACAUGCAAGUCGAACGGUGAACGAGGGAGCUUGCUCCCUCCGGAUCAGUGGCGAACGGGUGAGUAACACGUGAGCAAUCUGCCCCGAACUCUGGGAUAAGCGUUGGAAACGACGUCUAAUACCGGAUACGACGCGGGAGGGCAUCCUCUCCGCGUGGAAAGAACUUCGGUUCGGGAUGAGCUCGCGGCCUAUCAGCUUGUUGGUGAGGUAACGGCUCACCAAGGCGACGACGGGUAGCCGGCCUGAGAGGGUGACCGGCCACACUGGGACUGAGACACGGCCCAGACUCCUACGGGAGGCAGCAGUGGGGAAUAUUGCACAAUGGGCGCAAGCCUGAUGCAGCAACGCCGCGUGAGGGACGACGGCCUUCGGGUUGUAAACCUCUUUUAGCAGGGAAGAAGCGAAAGUGACGGUACCUGCAGAAAAAGCACCGGCUAACUACGUG